AUUGAACGCUGGCGGCAGGCUUAACACAUACAAGUCGAACGAGUGGCGGACGGGUGAGUAAUUCUUUGGAAUCUUGCUCAUGGAGGGGGAUAACUCCGGGAAACUGUAGCUAAUACCGCGUACCAUAGGAUGAGCCAAAGUGGGAUUAGGUAGUGGGUGAGGUAAAGGCUCACCAAGCCGACGAUGUCUACCUGGUCUGAGAGUAAGACCAGACACACGGGGAGUGACACACGGCCCAGACUCCUACGUGAGGCAGCAGUGGGGAAUAUCGCGCAAGGGGCGCAACCUGCCGCCGCAAUGCCGCGUGAAUGAAGAUGAACUUCGGGUUGUAAAGUUCUUUCGGUAGUGAGGCGUUCCCUACCGAAGAAGCGCCGGCUAACUCCGUGCCAGCAGCCGCGGUAAUUC
rnacentral:rRNA from 1 species